rnacentral:rRNA from 1 species
GAUCCUGGCUUAGGAUGAACGCUGGCGGCGUGCCUAAUACAUGCAAGUCGUACGAGGGAAGUCCAGCUUGCUGGACGGAACGAGUGGCGAACGGGUGAGUAAUACGUAAGCAACCUGCCUGCAAGGACUGGGAUAACACCUGGAAACGGGCGCUAAUACCGGAUAGGUAACAAAGGGCAUCCCUAUGUUAUUAAAGGUUAGAAACACAAGCAGAUGGGCUUACGGUGCAUUAGCUAGUUGGUGAGGUAACGGCCACCAAGGCGAUGAUGCAUAGCCGGCCUGAGAGGGUGAACGGCCACAUUGGGACUGAGACACGGCCCAGACUCCUACGGGAGGCAGCAGUAGGGAAUUUUCGGCAAUGGACGAAAGUCUGACCGAGCAACGCCGCGUGAGUGAAGAAGGUUUUCGGAUUGUAAAGCUCUGUUGUAAGGGAAGAACAGCACGGAAAGAAUCCGUGAAUGACGGUACCUUACCAGAAAGCCACGGCUAACUACGUGCCAGCCGCUGC